rnacentral:rRNA from 1 species
UACGUAGGAGGCGAGCGUUGUCCGGAGUUACUGGGCGUAAAGCGCAUGCAGGCGGUCAACUCAGUCUGUGCUGACAGUUCCCGGCUUAACUGGGAAAGUGGUAUGGAUACUGGUUGACUUGAGGGCUUCAGAGGGAUGUGGAACUCCGGGUGGAGUGGUGAAAUGCGUAGAUAUCAUUUGGAACGCCAAUGGUGAAAACAGGUAGCUGGGGCUGUGCUGACACUGAGACACGAAGCCAGGGGAGCAAACGGG